GACGAACGCUGGCGGCGUGCUUAACACAUGCAAGUCGGACGGUAAGGCCCUUCGGGGUACACGAGUGGCGAACGGGUGAGUAACACGUGGGUGAUCUGCCCUGCACUUCGGGAUAAGCCUGGGAAACUGGGUCUAAUACCGGAUAGGACCACUGCCUGCAUGGGUGGUGGUGGAAAGCUUUUGCGGUGUGGGAUGGGCCCGCGGCCUAUCAGCUUGUUGGUGGGGUGAUGGCCUACCAAGGCGACGACGGGUAGCCGGCCUGAGAGGGUGACCGGCCACACUGGGACUGAGAUACGGCCCAGACUCCUACGGGAGUCAGCAGUGGGGAAUAUUGCACAAUGGGCGCAAGCCUGAUGCAGCGACGCCGCGUGAGGGAUGACGGCCUUCGGGUUGUAAGCCUCUUUCAGCACCGACGAAGCGCAAGUGACGGUAGGUGCAGAAGAAGGACCGGCCAACUACGUGCCAGCAGCCGCCGUAA
rnacentral:rRNA from 1 species